UACGGGGGGGGUAAGCGUUGUUCGGAAUUAUUGGGCGUAAAGGGCUCGUAGGCGGUCUGUUGCGUCGGGAGUGAAAACUCAGGGCUUAACCCUGAGCCUGCUUCCGAUACGGGCAGACUAGAGGUAUGCAGGAGAGAACGGAAUUCCUGGUGUAGCGGUGAAAUGCGCAGAUAUCAGGAGGAACACCGGUGGCGAAGGCGGUUCUCUGGGCAUUACCUGACGCUGAGGAGCGAAAGUGUGGGGAGCGAACAGG
rnacentral:rRNA from 1 species